UUUGAGAGUCCUAGCUAG
rnacentral:miRNA from 1 species